UACGUAGGGUGCAAGCGUUGUCCGGAAUUAUUGGGCGUAAAGAGCUCGUAGGCGGUCUGUCGCGUCUGCUGUGGAAACUCAGGGCUUAACCCUGAGCUUGCAGUGGGUACGGGCAGACUAGAGUGCGGUAGGGGAGACUGGAAUUCCUGGUGUAGCGGUGAAAUGCGCAGAUAUCAGGAGGAACACCGGUGGCGAAGGCGGCAUCCCUGGACCGGCAAUUGACGCGUGAG
rnacentral:rRNA from 1 species